rnacentral:rRNA from 1 species
GUGAACGCUGGCGGUAGGCCUAACCCCUGCAAGUCGAACGGCAGCACCGUAAGAGCUUGCUCUUACGGGUGGCGAGUGGCGGACGGGUGAGGAAUACAUCGGAAUCUACUUUUUCGUGGGGGAUAACGUAGGGAAACUUACGCUAAUACCGCAUACGACCUACGGGUGAAAGCAGGGGAUCUUCGGACCUUGCGCGAUUGAAUGAGCCGAUGUCGGAUUAGCUAGUUGGCGGGGUAAAGGCCCACCAAGGCGACGAUCCGUAGCUGGUCUGAGAGGAUGAUCAGCCACACUGGAACUGAGACACGGUCCAGACUCCUACGGGAGGCAGCAGUGGGGAAUAUUGGACAAUGGGCGCAAGCCUGAUCCAGCCAUACCGCGUGGGUGAAGAAGGCCUUCGGGUUGUAAAGCCCUUUUGUUGGGAAAGAAAAGCAGCAGGUUAAUACCCCGCUGUUCUGACGGUACCCAAAGAAUAAGCACCGGCUAACUUCGUG